rnacentral:rRNA from 1 species
CUACGGGGUGCUCCAGUGGGGAAUAUUGCGCAAUGGGCGAAAGCCUGACGCAGCAACGCCGCGUGAGUGAUGAAGGCCUUCGGGUCGUAAAGCUCUGUCGGGAGGGAAGAACACCUUCGGGUCUGACGGUACCUCCCGAGGAAGCACAGGCUAACUCCGUGCCAGCAGCCGCGGUAAUGACGGAGUGUGCAAGCGUUGUUCGGAAUUACUGGGCGUAAAGCGCGCGUAGGCGGCUUGAUAAGUCAGAUGUGAAAUCCCUCGGCUUAACCGAGGAACUGCAUUUGAAACUGUCAGGCUUGAGUACGGGAGGGGGAGGCGGAAUUCCCAGUGUAGAGGUGAAAUUCGUAGAUAUUGGGAGGAACACCAGCGGCGAAGGCGGCUUCCUGGACCGAUACUGACGCUGAGGCGCGAAAGCGUGGGGAGCAAACAGGAUUAGAUACCCUGGUAGUC